rnacentral:tRNA from 1 species
GGUCCUGUGGCCCAAUAGAUACGGCGCCUGACUACGAAUCAGGAGAUCUAGGUUCGAGUCCUGGCAGGAUCG